rnacentral:rRNA from 1 species
AGCGAACGCUGGCGGCAGGCCUAACACAUGCAAGUCGAGCGCCCAGCAAUGGGAGCGGCAGACGGGUGAGUAACGCGUGGAGAUCUGCCCAAUGGUACGGAAUAACCCAGGGAAACUUGGAUUAAUACCGUAUGUGCCCUUCGGGGGAAAGAUUUAUCGCCAUUGGAUGAACCCGCGUCGGAUUGGCUAGUUGGUGAGGUAAAGGCUCACCAAGGCGACGAUCCGUAGCUGGUCUGAGAGGAUGAUCAGCCACACUGGGACUGAGACACGGCCCAGACUCCUACGGGAGGCAGCAGUGGGGAAUAUUGGACAAUGGGCGCAAGCCUGAUCCAGCCAUGCCGCGUGAGUGAUGGAGGCCUUAGGGUUGUAAAGCUCUUUCGCCGGUGAAGAUAAUGACGGUAACCGGAGAAGAAGCCCCGGCUAACUUCGUGCCAGCAGCCGCAGUAAUAC